rnacentral:lncRNA from 1 species
AAGUAGUUUGCAUUGAGGUUCCAACGCAGGACUCGAAGGAGAGAGAAGAGAUGGUGUUUGCUAUUCCACUCAUCAUAUUUUACGAAGAGAGAGAGAGAGGAGGACAAUAGUUGGAUGGAUGUAUAAUAAUAAUACUACUACUAUAGUUUUUUCCUUAAUGAUGUGGCUUCCUAUAAAAUUCAUCGACUCACAAUGAAUCCAGUGGACACAAAUCGCCGUCAAUUCUCCGUAUCUGACCUCCUCUGCACCUACGAACACUACACGUGAUGGGUCGGGAGUGGUAGCUCAGAGGAGGUCUGCAAUCAUCCGUCGGAUCCCGUGACUCUCCAUCCCAUACACAUCGUUGCUGCAGUCCCAACGCCACGCCAGGGAGACGAAGGAAAAGAAAGCGAGGAAGAAAGCCCCCGAUGAUGCCGUCUGCCAUCUCACGCCGCCGCAAUCCCCGUUAAGCAAAAGGGGAGGAGGAGGACACGAAUGAUGCCGGCGUGCGUUGUACUCCUCGAUGGCGACGGCGGGGCAGCCGCGGCCUUUCCCUGUCCGGCUUCAAUGAGGGCUGUGUCGUUAUGUGGCGACGCUCACAUGGAAAGGCGUCGAACACAGCCAGUUUCCAGCUGUGUUGGGGUCCCAAACACAGCAUCUCUCACCCACCACAUCCAGCCUUGCCUUAUCUAAUCC